rnacentral:rRNA from 1 species
AGAGUUUGAUCCUGGCUCAGGACGAACGCUGGCGGCGCGCUUAACACAUGCAAGUCGAGCGAGAACCGGGGCUUCGGCCCCGGGGACAGCGGCGAACGGGUGAGUAACACGUGGAUAACCUGCCCUCGGCACCGGGAUAGCCCGGGGAAACCCGGAUUAAUACCGGAUGGCCCUUCCGGCUUCAGAGCCGGUCGGAAAAGGUAGCUUCGGCCUCCGGCCGAGGAUGGGUCCGCGGCGGAUUAGCUUGUUGGUGGGGUAAUGGCCUACCAAGGCUCCGAUCCGUAGCUGGUCUGAGAGGACGAUCAGCCACACUGGGACUGAGACACGGCCCAGACUCCUACGGGAGGCAGCAGUGGGGAAUCUUGCCCAAUGGGCGAAAGCCUGAGGCAGCGACGCCGCGUGAGGGAGGAAGGCCUUCGGGUUGUAAACCUCUUUCAGGAGGGACGAAGCUACUCGGGUGAACAGCCCAGAGGGUGACGGUACCUCCAGAAGAAGCCCCGGCUAACUACGUGCCAGCAGCCGCGGUAAUACGUAGGGGGCAAGCGUUGUCCGGAUUUACUGGGCGUAAAGCGCGUGUAGGCGGCCGCGCAGGUCCGUUGUGAAAACUGGAGGCUUAACCUCCAGACGUCGACGGAAACCGUGUGGCUAGAGUCCGGAAGAGGAGAGUGGAAUUCCUGGUGUAGCGGUGAAAUGCGCAGAUAUCAGGAAGAACGCCAAUGGCGAAGGCAGCUCUCUGGGACGGUACUGACGCUGAGACGCGAAAGCGUGGGGAGCGAACAGGAUUAGAUACCCUGGUAGUCCACGCCGUAAACGAUGGGUGCUAGGUGUGGGAGGUGUCGACUCCUUCCGUGCCGUAGCUAACGCAUUAAGCACCCCGCCUGGGGAGUACGGCCGCAAGGCUAAAACUCAAAGGAAUUGAC